UUGAACAUUAUUAUUUCUAUUCAUAUUAAUAAUAUUAGAAUUCUACAAAUCGAAUGAAGAUAAUUUAUUUUACACGUGUAGUUGAACAUUAUUAUUUCUAUCCAUAUUAUCGAGUUAAGUAUCAUUAAUUAAAGCAUGGCAAAUAGUUAUAUGGCAAAACAAUGUUAUCAAGUUUUGAUGUUAUUUGAUGUGCGUUUUUUCUUUACCGGUCAAUGAAUCAAUAUGUAAUGAUUUAUUCUUCAGUGCUGACGGCUGUGAUAUAAAGACACGAUUCCGACGCAUUUUCAAAAGAGUUUAAUUCUGAGAAGCAGGCAUUCCUCAGAUGUUUCAAACCAGUUACUAUCGAUGGACAAGUCGUCAGCGGUGUGGCCCUUCUUCCCGAUGUUGCGGUCAUAUUAAUAAAUGGAAAAGAAUUCCAAUUUCUAAAACAGGUUCAGCGAACAGAGAAAAGGAUAAAACCGGUGGAGGAAGCUCUGAGGUUCGUUUUAUGACAUCAUGACCCUGAAGAUAUAUGCGAAAAA
rnacentral:lncRNA from 1 species